UACGUAGGGUGCGAGCGUUAAUCGGAAUUACUGGGCGUAAAGCGUGCGCAGGCGGUGCGGUAAGUCACCUGUGAAAUCUCCUGGCUCAACUGGGAGCUUGCAGGCGAAACUGCCGUGCUGGAGUGUGGGAGAGGUGCGUGGAAUUCCUGGUGUAGCGGUGAAAUGCGUAGAUAUCAGGAGGAACACCAAUUGCGAAGGCAGCUCGCUGGGACGUUACUGACGCUGAGACGCGAAAGCGUGGGGAGCAAACAGG
rnacentral:rRNA from 1 species